rnacentral:rRNA from 1 species
UACGAAGGGGGCUAGCGUUGCUCGGAAUCACUGGGCGUAAAGCGCACGUAGGCGGCUUCUUAAGUCAGGGGUGAAAUCCUGGAGCUCAACUCCAGAACUGCCUUUGAUACUGAGAAGCUUGAGUCCGGGAGAGGUGAGUGGAACUGCGAGUGUAGAGGUGAAAUUCGUAGAUAUUGGGAAGAACACCGGUGGCGAAGGCGGCCAUCUGGACCGCAACUGACGCUGAGGCGCGAAAGCGUGGGGAGCAAACAGG